ensembl:snoRNA
ACCCUCAAGUGAUGAAUACAUAGCCCUGGGAGGUCCAUGACCAGAUUGGGAUGUUUUGGUACUGUCUGAUGAGGCC